rnacentral:rRNA from 1 species
UACGUAGGGUGCGAGCGUUGCCCGGAUUUAUUGGGCGUAAAGGGCGCGUAGGCGGCCACGCACGUCCGUUGUGAAAUCGCCCGGCUCAACUGGGCGGGGUCAGCGGAUACGGUGUGGCUCGAGCAAGCUAGGGGGCAAUGGAAUUCCCGGUGUAGUGGUGGAAUGCGUAGAUAUCGGGAGGAACACCAGUGGCGAAGGCGGUUGCCUGGAGCUUUGCUGACGCUGAGGCGCGAAAGCUGGGAGGCGAAUGG